rnacentral:rRNA from 1 species
AGGGGGGGGAAAAAAACCAACCGGGAUUGCCCUAGUAACGGCGAGUGAAGCGGCAACAGCUCAAAUUUGAAAUCUGGCUCUUUUAGAGUCCGAGUUGUAAUUUGCAGAGGGCGCUUUGGCUUUGGCAGCGGUCCAAGUUCCUUGGAACAGGACGUCACAGAGGGUGAGAAUCCCGUACGUGGUCGCUGGCUAUUGCCGUGUAAAGCCCCUUCGACGAGUCGAGUUGUUUGGGAAUGCAGCUCUAAUGGGAGGUACAUUUCUUCUAAAGCUAAAUAUUGGCCAGAGACCGAUAGCGCACAAGUAGAGUGAUCGAAAGAUGAAAAGCACUUUGGAAAGAGAGUCAAACAGCACGUGAAAUUGUUGAAAGGGAAGCGCUUGCAGCCAGACUUGCUUACAGUUGCUCAUCCGGGUUUUUACCCGGUGCACUCUUCUGUAGGCAGGCCAGCAUCAGUUUGGGCGGUAGGAUAAAGGUCUCUGUCACGUACCUCCUUUCGGGGAGGCCUUAUAGGGGAGACGACAUACUACCAGCCUGGACUGAGGUCCGCGCAUCUGCUAGGAUGCUGGCGUAAUGGCUGUAAGCGGCCCGUCUUGAAACACGGACCAAGGAGUCUAACAUCUAUGCGAGUGUUUGGGUGUCAAGCCCGAGCGCGUAAUGAAAGUGAACGGAGGUGGGAACCCGCAAGGGUGCACCAUCGACCGAUCCUGAUGUCUUCGGAAGGAUUUGAGUAAUAGCAUGGCUGUGGGACCCGAAAGAUGGUG